UCUCCGUUGGUGAACCAGCGGAGGGAUCAUUAUAGAGUUUUCUAAACUCCCAACCCUUUGUGAACUUCCCUUUGUUGCCUCGGCGGGGCCUACCCGGUACCGACCCCUUUUGGGCGAAGUUACCCUGUAGCCCGCCGGUGGACCACACCAAAACUCUUGUUGUUACAGUGUCAUUCUGAAUUUAAAAACUUAAUCAGUUAAAACUUUCAACAACGGAUCUCUUGGUUCUGGCAUCGAUGAAGAACGCAGC
rnacentral:misc_RNA from 1 species